rnacentral:rRNA from 1 species
UACGGAGGGUGCGAGCGUUGUCCGGAAUCACUGGGCGUAAAGGGCGCGUAGGCGGCCUGAUAAGUAGGGGGUGAAAUCCUGCGGCUUAACCGCAGGGCUGCCUUCUAAACUGUCAGGCUCGAGCACAGUAGAGGCAGGUGGAAUUCCCGGUGUAGCGGUGGAAUGCGUAGAGAUCGGGAAGAACAUCAGUGGCGAAGGCGGCCUGCUGGGCUAUGGCUGACACUGAGGCGCGACAGCGUGGGGAGCAAACAGG